rnacentral:lncRNA from 1 species
UUUGUCGAAAAAAUAGAGACCACCAUCCACAUCUACUUUGCCUGAAAAAAUAGAGAUCAUUAUUCAAAUAUUUUCUCUCUCUUCACCUCUCCCCCACGUCCCUUCUUCCCCAUAAAUCGAAGCACAAAUAGAAAAAAAAAAUCAUAAUCAAAAUAAAUAAAGAAAGAAUAUAUCUUUUAAGAAAACACUAUUAAUUUAAAUGUGAAUAAGAAAGAAGGCAUAUAGAGAAAUAAAAAUGAUAAAAUCCAUACAUAAUAUGGAGAAUUAACAAUGGUGAACAAGAGUGAGCGUGUAUAAUUUCUAUUUAUUUAGUUGAAAGUCUUUUUUUUUUUUAGAUUUGAACUUGUUUAUAUGCAAAAUUCAUUUUUAUAAUGAUUUUAAAUUAAAAUGGCACAUGUCUUCUUUGCCACAUCAUAUACAUGUGUAUUACACACUUCCUCUUUUAACUAAGGGUCAUGAAAAUGUUCAAUACGUAUUUAUUUUUCACCAUUAAAGUGACUAAUAUGCGGAUAACUUUAAGAGGUCAGACUUAAGCCUUUUGUUAAUUUGAGAUUUACUCUUAUUUACUAAUUGAGCAAUUAGUAUAGUAACGACUUAAUGGUUAUCUUAUCUAUCAUUUUGGAUGAUUUGCAUAGAAAAUAUAGACUAUGAAACAUUGUACGUGAUUUGCCAAGAAUACACGAAUAUAAUUUAUUUAAAAGAGUUCUCAUAUUUAACGUAAUUAUCUUGAAUAUAUUUAUAUUCACAUUAUUAACAUGAAAGAGAUAUUGAUUGACCUAGCUAACCAACUUAUUUUCCUCUUGAAAGUCAUCACUGUGUUUUAUUUGCUUUUUUUAUUUUAUUUCACGUGAUAUUAUUUCUUUAUGGGAAAAUUAUGAAUCCAUCCAAAAAGAUUAACGUAUUUCAAUGCAUUUUAUUCUAUCCUUAAUGAGAAGCUUUGAUAGAUAUACAAAUUUUAUUUCUUCUUCUUUUUAAACUUCAUGACAAAUCAAUUCCGUAACUGAAACAAAAGGAGUAUGAUAACUUAAAAAUGGAUUUAAACGUUAGAAAUUUUAGUGUUUAUCUAAUUGUAUCAUAUAAUCAGAGGCGGAGCCAGGAUUUCAGACUUGUGGGUUCUAAAUUUAAAAAAAAAUAACGAUCUUAAAAAUCACAAAACACAAAUUAUGUUAAUGAGAUGUUUGUCAUGUUUGAAAACAUUACCUUAGAUAUUGUUAUUCUAAAAACUUAUUUUAAUAAUAUGAAGAUUUGAGUAAUUUAAUUUAAAGUUCUAAAAUAUUGUUAAUGAAAGAUGAAUAAUUUUUUAAAUAUAAUUCUUGAAUAUUUUCCCCCAAACACCUCCACCCCCAGGGGCAGACCCACAAGAAGUUACAAGCAGAGGCGGAGCCAGGAUUUCAGACUUGUGGGUUCUAAAUUUAAAAAAAAAUAACGAUCUUAAAAAUCACAAAACACAAAUUAUGUUAAUGAGAUGUUUGUCAUGUUUGAAAUCAUUACCUUUUAAUAAUAUGAAGAUUUGAGUAAUUUAAUUUAAAGUUCUAAAAUAUUGUUAAUGAAAGAUGAAUAAUUUUUUAAAUAUAAUUCUUGAAUAUUUUUAUUAUAAUAUAAAAUACUAUUUUAAGUGAGAAAAAAAUAUUUAAUUCACCAUUAAUAUUUUCGCACCUAAAAUAUAUAUUUUACUAGUUUCAUUGUGACCUUGAACUAUUACUACCUUCAAAAGUUAUAAUGUUGAAAAGCAAAUAACAAUUAUUCACUAUAAUCAAUUAUCAAUAUGUGGGAUAACCUUAGAAAAUAUUAAAAAUUGAUUUUUGAAUAGAUAAUUCUACGGUGUAAAAGCAAACAAAUAAAAAAAAUGAAAAAGGAGAAGUGAGAGUACAUAGUACAUAUCGAAGGCAGAGGUCGGAUGAUAGCAAUCAGAUCAACAAUAAAAGUUAGAAUCCUAACUUUUGAAAAUAAAUUUGGGCUAAAAUUUUUGAAUAGAAAUCAAUGAAAUUAUAUUUGGGUUAAAUUUUUUGAAUAUCUGAGUAGAAAUCAAUAGUUAGCUAUUGUUUUAAAGUAUGAUCCAAACACUUUUUUUUAUUAUCAUUAACCGUUUUUCUGUUUUUUUUUUUAUAUAUAUAAAUUAUCAUUUGCCAAUUUUCUACUUUUUAUAAAAACAAAAAUCCAAUGUUUUUAUCUGAAAUUAAUUCCAAAAACUUAGUGCCGUGAGCAGGUUUCGAACCCAUGAUCAUUAACCGUUUUUCUGUUUUUUUUUUUUUAUAUAUGUAUAAAUUAUCAUUUGCCAAUUUUCUAUACCGGUUUUCUAUUGUUUUUAAAAAAAUAUAUAAAUUAUCAUUUGCCAAUUUUCUAUUUUUUAUAAAAACAAAAAUCCAAUGCUUUUAUCUGAAAUUAAUUCCAAAAACUUGGUGCCGUGAGCAGGUUUCAAACCCAUGGCGCGUGUAUUGAAUGAUUUCACUGGGUGCGGGGAGACCACUGGGCCACCCGACUCAUUGUGUUAGAGGAUUCACAGGAAAUUUAUAUGUACGUUUUAUUUGAUAAAAUCUACGGAAAAGUCAGUGGGUUCUCCCGAAACCCCUUCCGCUACAGUAGCUUCACCCCUGCAUAUAAUCGACAAGUGCCAAUUAUUGGGUACCAAUUUACAACAUUUUCUUAUCAUUUUACUUUAUGAAUAGUGAUCGCAAUUAUUCUAAGUACGUCUACUAUCUUGUCAGAUAAAUAGUAUGGUAAAGCAAAGAAACUUGUUUUGUGGACGUAAUUUAUCAUUAACGCCGACAAUAUUAAUAAGCAUUGAAAAUGUUGAGCUAACCUAAGUAUAUUAACUAUACAAGCAAACGAGGGUUGAAGUUUCAAAAAGAAAAAUCAAAGCUCAUACCUAAUUGACACACACAUAACAUGUAGCUGGAGGCCAUAGCUGCCGCGUGGAACCAAAAUUUGAACUUUAUAGGUUCUAAAUUUUAGGAUAACAACCCUCGGGUAUUGGUAAUUGAUUUUUGAAGGGUAAUUAGGACAAAAAUAAUUUAGUUGCGCACUGAAUAAACAGUACCAAGUUAAAUGGUUAUGAGGUAAUGAGAAGCAAUAUAACAUUAUAAAUAAGAGCUUCCGUCACAUAAUUUAUAGCAAACUCACUAAAAAAAGUAUAGGAGAGAUGGAAUGGGAAUGGAGUUAUCUGUGUUUUUCUUCAAUCAUCUUAUUACCAGUUUUGAUCCUAUUUUUUUCUCAGAAAAAGACUACAAAAUGUUCUUACAAAUUACCUCCAGGACCACCUGGAUUACCAUUUUUUGGUAACAUGUUUGAACUAGGAACAGAGCCCUACAAAAGAAUGGCAGCUCUAAAACAGAAAUAUGGCCCUGUAUUGUGGUUAAAACUUGGCACCUCAACCAACAUUAUGGUUGUUCAAACAGCUCCGGCUGCUGCAGAAUUAUUUAAGAACCAUGAUACUUCCUUUGCGGAUCGAUUCAUACCUGAUGUAAAUCAGGCACAUAGUUACUAUCAAGGGUCCUUGGCCAUAGGCCGAUAUGGCUCAUUUUGGCGCUUUCAGAGACGGAUAUGUACUGUGGAAAUGUUUGUACACAAAAGAAUCAGUGAAACAGUGCCAGUAAGGCGAAGAUGUGUGGAUAAUAUGUUAAAAUGGAUAGAGAAAGAAGCGAAUUCAGCUGAAAAAGGAAGUGGGAUUGAGGUAACACGUUUUGUGUUCCUAGCAUCGUUUAAUAUGCUAGGGAAUUUGAUUCUGUCGAAAGACUUGGCUGAUCCAGAAUCCGAGGAAGCCUCGGAUUUCUUCAAUGCCAUGAAGAGAAUCAUGGAGUGGUCAGGUAUUGCUAAUGUUUCUGACAUAUUUCCAUUUCUUAGAAAGUUUGAUUUUCAAAAAUUGAGGAAGAAGAUGGCACGAGACAUGGGGAAGGCCAUUGAGAUCAUGUCUAUGUUUCUCAAGGAACGCGAGGAAGAGCGAAAGAAGGGUGCGGAGAAGGGGAAAGAUUUCUUGGAUGUGUUGCUUGAAUUUGAAGGCACUGGAAAAGAUGAGCCAGCUAAAUUAUCAGAACAUGAGAUCAAAGUAUUAAUAGUGGUAAGGUUUUUUAAAAAAAAUCUCUACACUUAUCUUUUCAACAUCAAUGAUUUUCUUUUCAAUUAGUUGUAUCUGGAGCAGAAAAAUGUGUUCUGCUUAGGGAAUAUUUUAUGCUCCUCAGGCCUCAGUCUUCACUCAACAAUCUUCAUUCCUUGUCUUUUACUACUAUUGCUCACUUUAAUUAUGAGGACUAAUUUGAUUGAAAAGUUAAUGUAAGUUCUUUUGAGAUCUUUACACAAAUAGCCGGCUGGGUUCACUGUUUCACUUUUCCUAUCUGGUAUACAUAUACUAUACACUGAUUAUAUACGGUUCUGCAUCAGGAAAUGUUUUUGGCCGGUUCAGAGACGACGAGCAGCAGCGUAGAAUGGGCACUAACAGAGCUCUUGCGCCAUCCAGAAGCAAUGGACAAAGUGAAAACAGAGAUAUCAAAAGUAAUAGGACCAAACAGCAAGUUUGAAGAAAGUGACAUCGAAAACCUUCCUUAUAUGCAAGCUGUAAUCAAAGAAUCGCUUCGUUUACAUCCUCCUCUGCCUUUCUUGCUCCCAAGAGAGACAAUUCAAGACACAAAGUUCAUGGGGUACGACAUACCAAAAGGAACUCGAGUUCUGGUGAACACCUGGGCUAUUGGAAGAGAUCCUGAAUGUUGGGACGACCCUAUGAGUUUCAAGCCCGAGAGGUUUCUUGGCUCAAAAAUAGACGUGAAGGGUCAGCAUUAUGAGCUAAUUCCAUUUGGUGCAGGACGGAGGAUGUGUGUUGGCUUGCCUUUAGGCCAUCGAAUGAUGCAUUUUGCUCUGGGAUCAUUGCUUCAUGAAUUCGAUUGGGAGCUUCCUAAUGGUGUCUCUCCUAAAUCUAUCAAUAUGGAUGAAAGCAUGGGUGCAACAGCCAGAAAACGUGACUCUUUGAAAGUAAUACCAAAAAAGGCUUUAGAACUCAUCAAUCUUUUCGAGCCAACAAGUAUGUCUUUAUAAUUAUGUAUGCAUUUUUUUUGCAUAUGUUCCUUAUAAUAAGUAUUUGCAAUCUUAGUAGCUCAGUUGGUUGACCACCUAAAAUUUAACCUUGUUGGUGAAUGUUCGAUUCCCCACCCUACCCCAUUUUAAAAAAAUGUAUUUGUAAUGCUAACUGGAGUUUCUUUAGUACAAUAUUUAUAGUAUGUAUCUAGAUCUUUGUCAACAAGAUUGUAAUUUGGAGAAAUUCAUGUGUGAUAAAUGUAAUACUUAAAAUCAAUUUUAGCUUGAAUAGUCUUUACGAAGUUGCUUAUGAAUCAAACUUUGAAUGUCUUUUUGAAGUCUCGCAUGCUUUUUUGAUGGUUAGGUGUGUCACACCCCUUUUUCGCACACGGUUGCGGAAGGGUUUUUCCAAUUAAAGUGACGCUAUUGAUUAAGAGAUUAUUUUAUUUUCGUUUUAGAGUCGCCACUUGGAAUUGAGUUAUGGUGUUCCAAGUCACCUUUUGUUUAAUCCUUAAUCAAAAGGAAAUGACUCUUUAUAUGGUUUGCGAACUAGAAAUUCGGGUAAGGAAUUCUGUUGACCGAGGGGAAGGUAUUAGGCAUCCCUCGAGUCCCGUGGUUCUAGCACGGUCGCUUUUAUUGACUUCUACCUACUUUAAAUCAUUUGUGGAUAUAUUAUUUUCAGGUCAUGACUUGUUUGCAUUUUUAUUGUUGAACUUUUAUUUGGUCUCAAAUCGGAUGCAUAACUGCAUUCUCGACUUUUGACAUAUAAAUACCUUAUGAACAUAAUUGUUUUCUUCUCUCGAGUGCAUCACCUAAUUUUAUCUAUAAGUGAUCUUAUUUUAAAUUAAUGAAAGUUAUUAUAUUUUUGGACAAGGUGCGUCACCGCAUCCUUGAGUUUUUUUUUAAUGUUUCAAAAAAGAUGUGUAACCACAUUUUUAAUUGAAACAAAUAUUAUUUUUUAUAUGCCUAAAACCCAUCUAAUGUUAUAAGAAAAUAUUAAAUAAAAUNNNNNNNNNNNNNNNNNNNNNNNNNNNNNNNNNNNNNNNNNNNNNNNNNNNNNNNNNNNNNNNNNNNNNNNNNNNNNNNNNNNNNNNNNNNNNNNNNNNNNNNNNNNNNNNNNNNNNNNNNNNNNNNNNNNNNNNNNNNNNNNNNNNNNNNNNNNNNNNNNNNNNNNNNNNNNNNNNNNNNNNNNNNNNNNNNNNNNNNNNNNNNNNNNNNNNNNNNNNNNNNNNNNNNNNNNNNNNNNNNNNNNNNNNNNNNNNNNNNNNNNNNNNNNNNNNNNNNNNNNNNNNNNNNNNNNUUUUUAUUAAUCCAACAAAACAAUGACGAAUUGCUAAAAUAAAUCUCAUUCUUUAUUUAAUAAAUAAAACAACAAUAAUUUUGUGAACCCAAUAAUUCCUACUUUAUCAUUAUUAGCAUCGAAAUCAAGAAAUGAACAACAUCAUGACCCAUUCAUUUUAAGACAUCACAACUAAUGAACGAAAAUAGAUAAAUAAAAAUAACCACCAAUAAAGUUACUUUCAUUCAUUAAAGAGAUAUAACACUUAACACAUUCUUCAUUUUAAUCAAAUUAUGAAUAAAAUAAAAGUGUAAGAAAACUUAUCAUAAUAAUUACAUCAAAUUCCAUAAAUAAAUUAAAUAAAAAGAUAAAGUAAAGUUGAAUACCGCAAAAUCUUAACCGAAGCUCGAUUAGAACACCCACAACUUUUGUAGGUUGUUUGUGAUGGUAUAUGUGUUUGUGUUGAUAUGAAAAAAAAUGGGUAAGGAAGAAAAGAUGUGAAUGUGUUGGUGAAUUUUUAAAAGAAGAAUCCAACAAGGAUGUGUAUUUUUUGGUUUCUUUGUAUUUGCAGAUUGUGCUUUUUCUUGUUUCCUUUUUUCUGUUUUUUUUUUGUCUCUCCCUGUAUGUGUAUAUGGUGUUGUCUAUAUAUGGGAAAUGUAGGUGUAGUAGUGUGUAGAUGUGUGUGUAGACAGUAGUGGUGUAGUGGUGUAGUGUGUAGACGUGUGAGUAUGUGUGUAUAGUGGGGGGGAUUAUGGUGUAGUGAGGUGAAAUGGGGUUGUGGGGUAGUGUAGAUAUAUAUAAAUAUAAAAUAUAAUAAUUAAAAAUAUUAACUAAUUAUUCUUAAUUAAUAUAAAUAUAUAUAUAAAAAAAAAGCUAGUUAAAAAAUAAUUAAGAAACACUAGUUUAUUUUAUUAAAUAUACAUUAAAAUAAAACGUAUGUUUUUUGUAGUUUCCUAAUCUUUUAAAAUAAACUUACUAAAAUACGAUGAAAAAAAUAAAAAUAAAAUAAAAAAAAUAUUUGAUUUAUAUAAAAAAGCAAUAUUCAUGUACUAAAAAAAAGGUGUAAUACCUUAAGUUCGGUCAAAAAUUACGUGUCUACAAGGUGUGUGGGCAAGUUAUGUUGAUGUUGGCACCUGGGCUUCUGGAACCACCCUCCAUUCUGGAGCCAGAGGGUUCUGAGUAACCUCAAUCUCACAUUUAAAGAAGUGAUUAUCUAUCUUGAAAAAAUCCUUGUCGUCUACACUAGGAUUUUUUUUUAAUUUUGUUCCUAUAAGAUAUGAAUUAUUGAAGGCUAGCAAGUCUUUUUGGUUUUCAACUUCAAAGAGAUCUAGAGAAAUACAAUAUCGUAAACUCCAUUUUUAUGCAAUAGCUCGCAAACCACACAAAAUCGGUAAACUGCACUACACAAGCCCCGUUCAACUAGCUCGACCCAGUAGACAAACCCUCUACUCUUGCAGACAAGGGAUUUCGAAUUUGAGACCUUCAUUAUGGAUGUCCCAAGCCAAACCAUCUAAGCAAGGCAAUAUUAUAUCCCAUAACCAACAUAAUAUUAUAUUUGGAAAUCAUGUCUCCUUUGUAAGCAAUAAGAAAUUGUUGGAUUGGUACAAGUCGUAUGUCGCUCUAUGUGGACAAACUAACAUGUUGUAUUCUAGGUGUUUUGAUGAUCCUCACAAAUGCAGGGACCCGAUCCCUGGCAGAGUGCUCUCAUCCAAGUUCAAAAUGGUGUACAGUUGUAAAGUUGUUUCACCAACCGUACUUCACCAAUAGGAAGGGCGGACGAGGUUGUUUGUUUUAGUGGUCAAAACUCGUGUUGGUGAUUGAUAUAUACAACAAUAAACAAACAACAUUAAUCAUUCAAAAAGAGAGAGAGCUAAGCAAGUCUUUUCAAGAACUCAAGCAUCAAAGAACACACUGCAAGGGACCUGGUCCCGGAAAGACUGCGUACGUGAAACAGACAAAAAAACAGCUGUCAAAAAGUUGUCAACUCUUAUAUGGUUGGUGCACGUCUUUUUAGAGAAGCAAGCUCUUUGGCAAUGAUGUCGUCCUCAGGGGUUUGGGUCCAUUUGAUAUAGUCUCUUCUCAAAAGACACAAACUCAAGAUUUGACAAACAAAGUAAAAUUUCUGAAAAUUCAUAAGCUCACAAAGAAGAAGUCAUCUUCAAGGAUGAACAUUGUUCAUACUCAACAAAGGACCUAAUGAAGUGCUGAAGCGUCGUUGUUGUAUUUUUGAGCUUUGUGUUUUAUGUUCUUAUAUUGUAAAUCUAUUCCUAAGUUAUAAAGGCUAGUAGAUCAGUUGCUUGUCUAAGUCUUUAAUUUGAGUCGUAUUAACUAGAGCUAGUUAGUUGAAUCAUCUACGUUUUUAGUCAAGCCUUUUUGCAUCAUUGUUUUGAUGUUCUCUUGGGUAGAGUUGCCUAGGAAUGUCAACAAGAGUUAGUUGAUGUGUGGUGCAGCAGAGUUGCUGCUUGUUUAUGCUCUUAUCAUCGAGAUCAGAGUUGGUGGUUAGCCUUGUUGGGUUCUUAAAGUCUAGAUCAAUUAGAGUUAAUUGGUUUAGUGGGAAAUACAGUUAUUGCUUAGUUUCCUUUGUUGUAGAGUUGCUACCGUAAGGGGGAAGGGAUUAAAGAGAUUUAAUUCCUAAGUUGCAAGAGUUUGUAAUCUGAAACUUUGCUCCGUUUGAGUGAUGGAGUUUGGGUUGAAAUCCUGUGAGUACAGGUCGUGGUUUUCACCGCCCUUGAGCAAGGGGUUUCCACGUAAAAUCCUUGUGCUUGAUUUACUUUGAGUUAUCUAUUUUCCGCACUAAUAUUAUGUCGAGGGACUGGUCCAAUGAUCACUGGUGGACGCAUCCAUUCUAACAUAACCCUUUAUGAAAGAAAUAAAAUACAAAAACACAUACUCUCUUCUUUUCUUUUAAUAACUAUGGUAUCUGAGCCAACUUAUGCGCACCUCGACUAAUUCCACAGAAUACAUGUCACCUCCUCCCAACAAUAUGAACCAAGUAACUCUGUCCACCUAGGACAAUUGGAAAGAAAUCACGUAGUGAUUUUGUCUAUGCUAGGAUUGAACCCGAGAGAUCAUGAAACUAUCAGUUUCCAAGAUAAACGUAGUCAGCUUGAAGCAAUUUCUUUUUCGACACAGAUUCUACAAGACUUCAACUACUAUUACCAUGUACGUAAUCGUUGUUCAUGCUACUGUUUAGUUCUCAGAAAUUGGAAGAUUUCAGUCUUUCCAAUUUCUUCUUCUACAUAAAUCUUGAUUAGGAAGAGGAAAUGGAAAUAUCAUAGUAGACAAUGAUCUUCUAGGUUUUCUUUUUUGGGUAAUAAUGAAGUUCUAGCUAGUAAAGAUAGUAAGAACAACAAUAUACCCCUACCUCAUGGAAGUAGAGAAAUUAUUUCCGAAAGACCCCCAACUCAGGCACCGCAUAUCAAAGAAAGGAAGUCAAAACAAAUACUAGAAAAAAACAUUGCAUAGCAUGGAGGAAAAAGGAACCGUAACAACAGCAAAAGUAAAGAUAGCAAGUAAAAUUUGCAUAAAUCCAAAAGCACACCCUCUCUAAACCUCCGAGAAAAUGAUCAAAAUGGUCCUUAAUGUAUGGGUUUGAUUCCAUUUUGGUCCUUAAUAUAUGAACUUGAUGGAAAUUGUCCUUUAUGUAUCAUAAAUUGUGAUCAAUUUGGUUCUUAACCCUAAAAUUAAUAUAUUUCUUUUUUUUUUGUCCGUCAAAAUACACGGAAUAUGUAAAAGAUGCGCUCGUUCAAGACUUUCCUUCCCUUGUUUCCAAAAAUUCCAAAAGGGCACAUCUAAUUUUUUUUAACCAAAGGUCAAAAUCGCUCCUGACAGAGCGAUUUUCUUCUGACAAAAUUGACGCCAUUACUCCUUUAAAAAACAUAAAAAUCGCUGCCGGUCCAAAAAAAAAUUUCUUUUUUCUUUAAAAUCGCUAGUGUGAAAUUUUUUUAUCAACGCUACCCCAGCAGCGUUUAAAAAAUAGAAAUAGCUGCUAUAGCAGCCAUUUUCUUUAAAAAGUUUAAUUUUUUUUUUUGUUAAAAAUUCCCAAGGCGAGGACUUCUUAAAAAAAUAAUGGAAAAUCGCUCCACAUGUAGCGAUUUUAGUUUAAAUUUUUUUUUUAAAUAAUCGCUGCCAAAGCAGCGAUUUCAGUAAGAAUUUUUAUUAUUAUUUUCCAAUUGUUGCUAGCAAUCAAAAUGUAUACAAUAAAAAAUUAUAAAGUAACUCAAUUGGGAAAUUAGCGAUUUCCCAUUAUUUUUUUAAGCAGUCCUCGCCUCGGAAAUUUUUAAUAAAAAAAAAUUUAAACUUUUUUAAGAAAAUGACUACUAUAACAGCUAUUUCUAUUUUUUAAACUUGUUAAAAAAUAAAUCACAGCAGCGAUUUUAAAGAAAAAAGAAAAAAAAAAUUGUAUCGACAGCGAUUUUUAUGUUUUUUAAAGGAGUAACGGCGUCAAUUUUGUUAGAAGAAAAUCGCUCCGUCAGGAGCGAUUUUGCCCUUUUGGUUAACCACAUUUUGAUGUGCCCUUUUGGAAUUUUUGGAAACAGGGGAAGGAAAGUCUUGAACGAGCACAUCUUUUACAUAUUCCGUGUAUUUUGAUGGCAAAAAAAUAUAUAUAUAUUAAUUUUAGGGUUAAGGACCAAAUUGAUCACAAUUUAUAAUACAUAAAGGACCAUUUUCAUGAAGUUCAUAUAUUAAGGACCAAAUGGAAUCAAAGCCCAUACAUUAGGGACCAUUUUGAUCAUUUUCCCCUAAACCUCCCCACAAUAACUUCCAUUUUAUGCAGAAGAAAACUAAACUACUCUUGAGUAUUUAUAUAGAGAAGAUCAUUGUCACUGUCAGAUGAGAAACCAUACAAAAACUAUAACAAUUAAUGCAAAAUAUUAAUCUGUUAGACCAUUAUCACAUCACAAAAUUUGUUUAUCACCAAAAACUUAGCGAAAUAACAAAGGAUCAAAAUAAAAUAUAAUGUAAACAGAAAUAUAGUCUUUAGAUUCAAAAUUGAGACUCACAGUGCUGGUGUGGUAGUUUCCUCUUUUCUACGCAGCAUUUAAUCAGAUGACUCGCGCAUAUUCCUUCACCAAAUUCCACAUUACAGCAAACAAAUUUCAAAUUAGGAUGAAAAAAGAAGCAGUGAUAAAUAUACCGAUCAACAAAUUGGGCAGAUUAACUGCAAAUUCCAAAUAUGACACACUAAUUCUCAUAUACAUACUGAUCGUAGAAGUUCGCCGCCAGCGGAGAGGAUGUUCGAGGAGGAGCAAUUAGCGCCACCGCAGGCGAAAGUGAAUCAGCGGUGAUAGGCCAUGACUUAGGGCUCGAUAAAUCUCCAUCGCCAUUUCCCCAAUUUUCCUCUUAUGUGAAGAAGAAGGGGAAAAUUACUUGUGAAUUGCAAAAAGGAGAAAAGAAGAGGGAAAAGGGUGGGUCGGGUUUGAGUGAAAAUUUCGC